rnacentral:rRNA from 1 species
UCUUUGAGUGUGUACUUGUUAAGCCUUUUAAGAAAAAAGUUAUUAACUUAAGGAAUUAUAACAAAGAAGUAACACGUAAUGGAUCCGUCCAUUUUUAGUGUGUAUCAAUCGAGUUUCUGACCUAUCAGCUUUUGAUGUUAGGGUAUUGGCCUAACAUGGCUAUGACGGGUAACGGGGAAUUAGAGUUCGAUUCCGGAGAGGGAGCCUGAGAAAUAGCUACCACAUCUAAGGAAGGCAGCAGGCGCGUAAAUUACCCAAUUCUAAAGAAGAGAGGUAGUGACAAGAAAUAACAAUACAAGGCCAAUCUGGCUUUGUAAUUGGAAUGAUGGGAAUUUAAAACCUUCCCAAAACUCAAUUGGAGGGCAAGUCUGGUGCCAGCAGCCGCGGUAAUUCCAGCUCCAAUAGCGUAUAUUAAAAUUGUUGCAGUUAAAACGCUCGUAGUUGAAUUUCAAAGAAUCGAUAUUUUAAGUAACGCUUUUAGCUUAAUCCACAUAACUGAUACUACGUAUCGACUUUGUGCGCAUUUUGCUAUUAUGUGUUCUUUUAAUUAAAAUGAUUCUUUUUAAGAUCUUUCUUUUGCUUCGGCAUUUGAAGAUCUUGUUACUUUGAGUAAAUUAGAGUGUUCAAAGCAAACAGAUAUAGCAUUGCGUGUUUGAAUACUACAGCAUGGAAUAACAAAAUUGAACAAGUCAGAAUUUUGUUCUUUUUUCUUAUUUUGGCUUAGUUACGAUUAAUAGGAGUAGCUUGGGGGCAUUUGUAUUCAGAUGUCAGAGGUGAAAUUCUUAGAUUUUCUGGAGACAAACAACUGCGAAAGCAUUUGCCUAAAAUACUUCCAUUAAUCAAGAACGAAAGUUAAGGGAGUGAAGACGAUCAGAUACCGUCGUAAUCUUAACCAUAAACUAUGCCGACUAGGC